AUUGAACGCUGGCGGCAGGCCUAACACAUGCAAGUCGAGCGGAUGAAGGGAGCUUGCUCCUGGAUUCAGCGGCGGACGGGUGAGUAAUGCCUAGGAAUCGGCUUGGUCGUGGGGGAUAACGUCCGGACACGGGCGCUAAUACCGCAUACGUCCUGUGGGAGAAAAUGGCGGUUCUUCGGACCACACGCUUUCAGACGAGCCUAGGUCGGAUUAGCUAGUUGGUGGGGUAAAGGCCUACCAAGGCGACGAUACGUAACUGGUCUGAGAGGAUGAUCAGUCACACUGGAACUGAGACACGGUCCAGACUCCUACGGGAGGAAGCAGUGGGGAAUAUUGGACGAUGGGCGAAAGCCUGAUCCAGCCAUGCCGCGUGUGUGAAGAAGGUCUUCGGAUUGUAAAGCACUUUAGGUUGGGAGGAAGGGCAGUAAGUUAAUACCUUACUGUUUUGACGGUACCAUCAGAAUAAGCACCGGCUAACUUCGUG
rnacentral:rRNA from 1 species